rnacentral:rRNA from 1 species
GACGAACGCUGGCGGCGUGCUUAACACAUGCAAGUCGAGCGGAGCGGCGAACGGGUGAGUAACGCGUGAGUAACUUCCCCCCUCUCUGGGAUAACAGUUGGAAACGGCUGCUAAUACCGGAUAGUGGGGGAUGACUCGCGUCCUAUCAGCUUGUUGGUGGGGUAGUGGCCUACCAAGGCGACGACGGGAAGCCGGCCUGGGAGGGCGACCGGCCACAAGGGGCUGUGAUACGUCCCAAUCUCCUACGGGGGGCAGCAGUGGGGAAUAUGGCACAAUGGGGGAAACCCUGUUGCAGAAACGCGCGUGCGGGAUGACGGCCUUCGGGUUGUAAACCGCAUUAAGCCAUGACGCGGUAGUGGCAGAAGAAGCACCGGCUAACUACGUGCCAGCCGCCGCGGUAAUAC